CCUACGGGUGGCUGCAGUGGGGAAUAUUGCGCAAUGGGCGCAAGCCUGAUGCAGCAAUGCCGCGUGUAUGAAGAAGGCUUUCGGGUUGUAAACUACUUUCAAGGGGGAAGAGCAGAAUACGGUACAUCUUGAAUAAGCCAGGGCUAACUACGUGCAAGCAGCCGGGGUAAUACGGAGGUGGCAGGCGUUGUCCGGAUUUACUGGGUGUAAAGGGCGUGCAGCCGGGGAGAUAAGUCAGAUGUGAAAUCCCGGGGCUCAACCGCGGAACUGCAUUUGAAACUGUCUUGCUUGAGUACCGGAGAGGUGAGUGGAAUUCCUUGUGUAGCGGUGAAAUGCGUAGAGAUAAGGAAGAACACCAGUGGCGAAGGCGGAUGACUGGACGGCAACUGACGGUGAGGCGCGAAAGCGUGGGGAGCAAACAGGAUUAGAUACCCUGGUAGUC
rnacentral:rRNA from 1 species